CAGCACCUCAAGUGGUCAGGAUGAUUAUUGGGCCUAAAGCAUCCGUAGCCGGCGCUGUAAGUUUUCGGUUAAAUCUGUACGCUCAACGUACAGGCUGCCGGGAAUACUGCAGCGCUAGGGAGUGGGAGAGGUAGACGGUACUCGGUAGGAAGGGGUAAAAUCCUUUGAUCUAUUGAUGACCACCUGUGGCGAAGGCGGUCUACCAGAACGCGUCCGACGGUGAGGGAUGAAAGCUGGGGGAGCGAACCGGAUUAGAUACCCGAGUAGUCC
rnacentral:rRNA from 1 species